UAGUAUCUGUCUUACGUUUAUCAUCCGUCUCCCCACUAUAAGAAUGUAAGCUUCAUAAAGGGAGGAAAUCUUCAAUAUUUUGCUCCUGAUAGAUCCCAAACAGGUAAAGCAGCACUUGACACAUGGUAGGCAUUCAAUAAAUGUGUCUUGAAUUGAAUUAACUUGAGAGAAAUACCCUUUUUUUCUGAGACAAAGUCUUGCUCUGUUCAGGCUGGAAUGCAAUGGUGCAAUCUUGGCUCACUGCAGCCUCCUCCCCCCAGGUUCAAGCAGUUCUCAUGCCUCAGCCUCCUGAGCACCUGGGAUUACAGAUACUAGUGAGUCAUUGAAUAACUAUUAAAAUGUUCAGAGACUAACAAAAUAAUCGGCAAUGGAUGUUGAAGAACUAUGAAUAAAAAAUAUGCUCUAUGGAUCAGAUUUCCCUGCUUAUAGCACAGCUACUCUUACAGAAGACAUAAGAAAAUAUAUACACAGAGAAGACAUCACCAGACCCAAAGAUAAGAAAUUUCUGAUCACAGAAGAAAGCUAUAGAACAGGCUGUUGUUUUGUCUGCUAUUCUAUUUGGUAGUGGUGGCUUUAAUAAAUUCUUUUCUUAAAGCA
rnacentral:lncRNA from 13 species